rnacentral:lncRNA from 1 species
UUAGCUUUCGCGGAAAUCGAAAAGUCGAUUUCGGUGCGUUUUUCGGCGAAAUUCGCCGAAAGAACGCGAUUUCGGUUCGGAUUCUUUCCGAUGGUGUUUGGUUGCUCCGUGUUUUGUCGCUGAGCCUUGUUGGCUGGUCACCAUCAUCAUUUUGUGGGUUCGGUGAUGAUGGGUGAGCGACGGUGGGUUCCGGUGUCGAAAUAGACACUUCCGGGAACCCGGAUUCGUACGAUUAUCCGGCGAUAAUCGUAUUGUUGUGUUA